CCUGCAGAACCCAAAUUGGCGUUUGUCAUCAGGAUCAGAGGUAUCAAUGGUGUGAGCCCAAAGGUCCGGAAGGUGUUGCAGCUUCUUCGCCUUCGUCAGAUCUUCAACGGAACCUUUGUUAAGCUCAACAAGGCUUCGAUUAACAUGCUGAGGAUUGUAGAACCAUACAUUGCAUGGGGGUACCCAAACCUGAAGUCAGUAAAUGAACUAAUCUACAAGCGUGGUUAUGGCAAAAUUAAUAAGAAGCGAAUUGCCUUGACAGAUAAUUCUUUGAUUGCUCGAUCUCUUGGUAAAUAUGGCAUCAUUUGCAUGGAGGAUCUGAUUCAUGAGAUUUAUACUGUUGGAAAACGUUUCAAAGAAGCCAAUAACUUCCUCUGGCCUUUUAAAUUAUCCUCUCCACGAGGUGGAAUGAAGAAAAAGUCCACCCAUUUUGUAGAAGGUGGGGAUGCUGGCAACAGGGAAGACCAGAUCAACAGGCUUAUCAGAAGGAUGAACUAAGGUGUCUGCCUUGAUUAUUUUUGUUAACUGGUGAGUUAAUAAUAAACGAUGCCUGCUUUCAGAUGGAAA